rnacentral:lncRNA from 1 species
GGCGGGGGAAGGCGGAGGGAUGGGAACGGGGGAGAAGAAGGGCACCGCGGCGGGAGGGAAGAAACAGAGCGAGCUACGCUGCAGGAGCGCAGUUACCAGCCGGCUGCGAUCACGUGCCUGGGAGGAGGAGCUGAGACCUCAGGGGAGGGGCGCGCGGUAGCGUCCCGGGUCCCCUAGCAGGGCUCUAGAGACCACGUGAAGUCUCCUCGACAGCUGCUUUGCCUCAGGCAUAAAUCAGAAGAGGAAAACCAGCUUCUGGACCUGGAGAGAGGAUGAAAGGGAAUAGGAAUUGAGGGAAGCGGAAGGGAAGAAUAAGGGACCCCUGGAGAGUCCCUACCAAGCCAGACAUAACAAACAAAAGUCCUCUACUACUGAGGAAGACAGAACAGGGAAGCCAGCAGGGGAAGAAAAAGAUGCUGCUGCUCUUGAUGCCUCAAAAACAGCAAGGAAGAACCCAAGCAACUGAUGUACACACCCUUGGAACAAAUCUGCCCCAGAAGUACAAGACACACUCUUCGAAUUCAUGGAAUAAAUGGGAGGAGCUGGUGUAGUGAAGGAUGAAGAGAAGGCAAUGCAUUGGUUUAGGGAUGUAGAAAUGCUCCUUAAUGUUGCUGCAAAAUGGGGGAUCCAAGAAGCCCAAGAACUUCUGGAGAAUGUUAUUUGGACUAAAAGCAAGCUCUUGCCAACUGAAAGAACCAGGAGUUCUUAUAAACCAUAAUGUGUGCCUGCAUGCUCUUCCUGGAACAUGGGAUGUUCUGCUCUCACUUGUCCACUGUGGCCUUGCAAUGCUUUGUGGCAUUUUCAAUGGAAGCUCCUUUUACUUAUAGUCUCAUAUGCUGCUGCAGCAUUAAUUUGCUGGUUAAAAUCCUUUAAAUGAAGUGUUACUUAUAUGUUUUCCUGGGAUCUGAGUUUGAUCUCUUCUGGAUAGAGGAAUAUUUUAUUUGGGUUUCAUUACUGCUCACUUCAGCUAAAGUUUCAUUCAAGCCAGUGAGCAUUCUAUAACGUGGUAAGUGGAAAAUAACGAAGAAACCUGUCAUACCAGAGAUUGGCUUCUUGGAUGUGUUAGCUGGCACUCACAGAUCCACUGAAAGAGCUAGACUCAUCAUUAGCCUAAUCUAUGACAUGUGAUGUUCUGCCUAAAAUAAGCCUGUUUUCAUUUCUCUCCAUUUCAAUUUUCUGCUCUAUUAGGUUUCUAUAGUAUUUUAUUACACUCACUUUUUGUAUUAUAGAAAGUCCUUUAUAGGGGUAAAAAGGCUGUUAUUGUUGUCAAUUAAAGGGAAAAGGAUAAAGUAUAAGACCUAACAAUUAUUGACCAUCUGCCACAUGCAAGAUAUUUUCUUAGCUGUUUAACAUAUAUAUAUAUAUUUGAGACUGAGUUUCGCUCUUGUUGCUCAGGCUGGAGUACAAUGGCAUGAUCUCUACUCACUGCAACCUCAGCCUCUCAGGUUCAGGAUGUUAUCCUGCCUCAGCCUCCUGAGUAGCUGGGAUUACAUGCGUGCACCAUCACAUCCGGCUAGUUUUUUCAUUUUUAGUAGAGACGGGGUUUCACCAUGUUGGUCAGGCUGGUCUUGAACUUCUGACCUCAGGUGAUCUACCUGCCCUGCCCUCCCAAAAUGCUGGGAUUACAGGAGUGAGCCACCACGUCUGGCCUGCUUAACAAAUAUUUUAACAUUCACUAGUUAUAAAAGUCUUAUAAGGUGGAUCUUAUAACUCCUAUUUUACAGAGUGAAAACAGGUGUAGAGAAGUUGUGAUAUGUGCAAAGUCACAGAGUGAGUGAUAGAGUGGGGUUUUUAGUGCUGGCAGUCUGAUUCUAGAGUCAACAUUCUUAACCAGUUCUACCAACAUUACUCUCCCAAGUCAUUAACAUCUCUUUCCUAACAACAAAGAUGUUCUAAGAACAGAUAACUGGGUUUAUUACUGGCAUAUGGUGAACACUUAUCUUAGCAAAUAACUCAGCCCCAUUUUCUGACUAUGAUUUUUUUAAGGACAAACCACGUAGUCCUAUUCUUCAAAAGUGAUGUUUUUAACCUUAAUUAUAAUUAGCUGUAUUUAUCUCAUUUAGAUUAUAGCGCAAUUUUCUCCUUGGAAUAUACAUACAGAAACACAAAUUGAGGGUGACAAAAGUGUCAAACUGGAAUUCAAUAUGAUGAUUAAGCUGUGUUUAAAAUAUUUGUUUCCCUUUUGAUUGCCUUGUUUACACUGUAUACAUAUGGAAUAUGACUGUAAGCCUUCAGCAAUCUUCUCUUUGUCCAACGUGAACACAUAAACCUUUAAAGAUGUACAUGAAAUGGUCACAUGCAAUUUUAAAUUCUUUAAUGUAGAAAAUCCCAAAUUCAUAAACUAAAUUCUUCACGUGAACCUUUGGUAAUAGUAUUUUUAUCUUCUCUAGAAGCACUUUAUUUUUCUUACAUUUUUCCCAGAGAAACCAGUCUUCAUUUCAGUUUAUGUUGUUCAAGAUACAACUCUGGAAAUUUUAUUCUGUGCCACAAACACUUAUAAAAUACUAGGACAAUAAUUUCAAUCAUCGUGUUAGUGUGCAUUUUUUUAACCUUCACAGUAAUAUCCUCUUAACUGUCUUGUAAUUUAAAUGCUUGUUUACAGUAACAACCCAAACUUACAAGUAUGAAAAUAUACCAUAGGAAUAUGAUCACUAAAUAGUGUUUUUUUAUUUUAAAAAAUUCCUUUAGGUGUCUUCUAUAAACAUCUCCAACUAACAUUGAUUUAGGUUGUUUUAGGGUUCUAAUGUCUUCUAACAGUUCUUUGUUGUUGAAAUAAAGUAAUAGAGUAGUUGAAAAAGCAUAACAACAAUUAGAAAGACUUUGUAAAGCCUCACAUAUAAAACCCCUUCACUUUUAACUUCGGUAAUACUUGGGUUUAAGAUCGGGAAUAACCUACCAGUCCAUCAGGGUUGAAAAAUAAUGCUUCAUGCAAAACCAGAAAAUGUGAUGGAUGAGGAUUCCCCUGAAUCCAAAGCUCUGCUUCUACUUCCUUUGCUGUAUCUGGGCAAAAAUUCAGGGGAAAAGCAAGACAUAAGAAAGAAAUUGGAUCAUAAAGAGAGUGAGAGCAUGAGAGAAUGAGAAUGGAUUUGCAUGUGUUUGGCCGGUUCAGAUACCCCAGGUUCUGCUUGCUUUCUUCCUUCCCUGUGCUCCUUCUGGGCCACAGAGGUUGAGAACCUCUGCACUCUUUUAGAUGCCCCAGGUUUCCUAUUUAGCCAUUUGAUGUCUUGAUCCUUUUUCUCAAGGUCUGCCUUAAUGUUAAUAUAAAAAUAUUUUACAUUAAAUAUGACAUAUAUUUACAGUACACAUAUCUUAAAU